GAUGAAGAACGUAGCGAAAUGCGAUAAGUAGUGUGAAUUGCAGAAUUCAGUGAAUCAUCGAAUCUUUGAACGCACAUUGCGCCCCUUGGUAUCCCGAGGGGCAUGCCUGUUCGAGCGUCAUUUCACCACUCAAGCCUGGCUUGGUGUUGGGUGACGUCCCCUUUGGGGACGCGCCUCGAAACGCUCGGCGGCGUGGCACCGGCUUUAAGCGUAGCAGAAUCUUUCGCUUUGGAAGUCGGGGCCCCGUCUGCCGGAAGACCUACUCGCAAGGUUGACCUCGGAUCAGGCAGGGAUACCCGCUGAACUUAAGAAUAUCAAUAAGCGGAGGA
rnacentral:misc_RNA from 1 species